rnacentral:lncRNA from 1 species
GCAACGAGAAGACACGGUGCUGGUAAGCGCAUUGGCUGAGGUAGGAAUGAAGGAGAAUAAAUACAGACGUGGAUUGAAGGUGUUUCAGGAUCUCAAGGGAAAAAGAAAAAGCAAYAAGUGUGAUAGCUCAUCCCAGACUUCCUGCAAAAGAGGAACCCUUUAAGGACUAUAAGAGUGCUUCUAUAUUUGUAAAUUCUCUCUUAGCUUUUGCCCUGUGCAUGCUUGGAUAUCUCACAUGCUCUCCACCAUGCAUGUAGACAGCAAGUUUUUUGCAUGUUACAUAACCUCAUAUUGCCAGCUGAGAAAGAUUGCUCAAAACUUCCCUUCAUAAAACAACAACCACUGAAUUUCUUUCCAGUCAGGUCCCCAUUCUUUCUUUCACUGUUGUUUUUUUCUGUCUACAGCUUUUAAAGGCUUUUUGACAAAUUCAGAUUACUGAAUCCAGUAAUUAGGAAGUAAAUGGGAGCUCUUGCUAAUGCUACAUGUCUUACUACCUAACGACCACUGAUGAGGACUAUUUUCUCUAUUAUGUACAUGGUGGUAUUCAUGAAGAUUUUAAGCAGGAAGCAUGCCCGCGUGCUCAGCAACAUCAAGCGACUGCUAGCAGAACUGAUCCUCAUCUACACAUUAUCGAAGCUCUGUGUAUUUGUACAGAAAUGCUGCUCUUGGUAGCUACAAGAGUUUCCUACUCAACAUUAAUCCAAUAUCACUAAGACCCAAAUAUAGAAAAUAAUAUUACCUUCUAGGUUUCCUGCUGUUACAAAAUGUGCAAAAUAUUCUUUAUACUACAGUAAGACUCAUUUAUCUUUAAAAGUGGUUAGGUAAGAAAGACACUCAAGCACCCCGUCAUUCAGAAAUGACAGGGUACAAGAUACACUAGGCACCCCUUUUUCAACAGCACUGAACAUAAAAUAGGAAACCCAGACAGGUUUUUUUUUCAUGCUGACUGAGCAGAGUUGAAAAAUGAAAGUUGACACAAGAUUUAUAGCUUUUUCUUGUUUAUCUUAACGCUCUCUGGAGCAGGUUACCUUGUUAGGAAAACGCAGCGGAGACGAAAUCCACGUUCCACUGUACUGGAUGCAACAGCUCGAGCUUGGCACCAGCUCCGCCUGGAUCAGCACCAAAGAAACGGCCUGUGUUUCCUCGGCUCACAUGUCACGGUCUGCGCGCUUGGCAGCAACGCCGUGGUUGCCCCUUGCGUGGGGAUAAGGUCUGCGAGAGCUUUCCCUCCACGGCUGCCCACCCGGGAGCUCACACGCCUGGGGCGUGCGGUGCUCAGCAUCCGGCAUCCGCUCCCUCUUGUGGCAGGCUGCUUGUGCGGUCCAGCGCCCAUCCGUUCGCUAACGCCAGAUGUGUUUUACAUCACUCUGC